ACGGAUGGNCCUGAUAAAAGUCAGUGGAAUUCAACUCUGUGCUCUACCUCAGCCCAGUACCCGACUGAACCGCGGGUUUCUGGAUACUGGUGUGGUCAYGGAGUGCAUUUUUCGCUGAUGUGCAUCARAGCUUGUGUCGGUGCUGGAUGUAAGGCUGUGGUUGCCGGCCAGCCGCGCGUUGGUGUCCCGCCUAANCCUGAAACCGGGUUACUGGCACAGGUUGCCUUAGANGCCCAUAUUCGUUGAUGUUUGCNAGCUUCGGCAUCNNAACUGCAGUGCUUUGUGCUAGACACGACUCUGCGAUGCCUGCCCCUGCGAGCUGCAUUUGCGAGUGGUGUCWNUUUCUGGUGUUUUAGUCAGUCACCCAUCUGACCCGUCUUGAAACACGGACCAAGGAGUCUAACAUGUGCGCGAGUCACUGGGUUGCAAAACCUAAGGGCGCAAUGAAAGUGAAGAUCAGUUCGGCUGAUUGACAUGGGACCCUUUGCUGGUCAGAGGUGCACCAUGGUCCCAUCCAUACUGCAUUGUCAGUUGGGUGGAGAUUGAGCGUACACGUUGGGACCCGAAAGAUGGUGAACUAUGCCUGAGCAGGAUGAAGCCAGAGGAAACUCUGGUGGAGGUCCA
rnacentral:rRNA from 1 species